UGCAGUCGCACGAGUAGCAUACUAGUGGCGGACUGGUGAGUAACACGUGGGAAUCUACCUUAAAGUUGGGGAUAACUAUUGGAAACGAUAGCUAAUACCGAAUGUGCCUGAGAAGGUAAAGAAGCAAUUUGCUUUAAGAUGAGCCCGCGGCAGAUUAGUUAGUUGGUGGGGUAAGAGCCUACCAAGACGAAGAUCUGUAGCUGUUUUGAGAGGAAGAUCAGCCACACUGGGACUGAGACACGGCCCAGACUCCUACGGGAGGCAGCAGUGGGGAAUUUUGGACAAUGGAGGAAACUCUGAUCCAGCAAUGCCGCGUGAGUGAAGAAGGCCUUCGGGUUGUAAAGCUCUUUUAACAAUGAAGAUGAUGACUGUAAUUGUAGAAUAAGGUCCGGCAAACUUCGUGCCAGCAGCCGCGGUAAUACGAAGGGAUCUAGCGUUGUUCGGAAUCACUGGGCGUAAAGCGCAAGUAGGUGGUUUGGUAAGUUAGAUGUG
rnacentral:rRNA from 1 species